UGGAGGCAGCAGUGGGGAAUGCUGCACAAUGGGCGGAAGCCUGAUGCAGCGACGCCGCGUGAGGGAUGACGGCCUUCGGGUUGUAAACCUCUUUCAGCAGGGACGAAGCGUGAGUGACGGUACCUGCAGAAGAAGCGCCGGCCAACUACGUGCCAGCAGCCGCGGUAAGACGUAGGGCGCGAGCGUUGUCCGGAUUUAUUGGGCGUAAAGAGCUCGUAGGCGGCUUGUUGCGUCGACCGUGAAAACCCGGGGCUCAACUUCGGGCUUGCGGUCGAUACGGGCGGGCUAGAGUUCGGUAGGGGAGACUGGAAUUGCUGGUGUAGCGGUGAAAUGCGCAGAUAUCAGGAGGAACACCGGUGGCGAAGGCGGGUCUCUGGGCCGAUACUGACGCUGAGGAGCGAAAGCGUGGGGAGCGAACAGGAUUAGAUACCCUAGUA
rnacentral:rRNA from 1 species